rnacentral:rRNA from 1 species
CCCUUAGAGUUUGAUCCUGGCUCAGGAUGAACGCUGGCGGCGUGCUUAACACAUGCAAGUCGAACGGGAUCGGCUGGAGCUUGCUCCGGCCGUGAGAGUGGCGAACGGGUGAGUAAUGCGUGACCGACCUGCCCCAUACACCGGAAUAGCUCCUGGAAACGGGUGGUAAUGCCGGAUGCUCCAGUUGGAUGCAUGUCCUUCUGGGAAAGAUUCAUCGGUAUGGGAUGGGGUCGCGUCCUAUCAGCUUGAUGGCGGGGUAACGGCCCACCAUGGCUUCGACGGGUAGCCGGCCUGAGAGGGCGACCGGCCACAUUGGGACUGAGAUACGGCCCAGACUCCUACGGGAGGCAGCAGUGGGGAAUAUUGCACAAUGGGCGCAAGCCUGAUGCAGCGACGCCGCGUGCGGGAUGACGGCCUUCGGGUUGUAAACCGCUUUUGACUGGGAGCAAGCCCUUCGGGGUGAGUGUACCUUUGAAUAGCACCGGCUAUU